UACCAGCACCCCGAGUGGUCGGGACGUUUACUGGGCGUAAAGCGUGCGUAGGCGGCUCGCUAAGUCGGUUGUGAAAUCCCUGGGCUUAACCUGGGAACUGCAGUCGAUACUGGCGGACUAGAGUACGGUAGAGGGUGGCGGAACUCCGGGUGUAGCGGUGAAAUGCGUAGAUAUCCGGAAGAACACCGAUGGCGAAGGCAACCACCUGGGCCUGUACUGACGCUGAGGUACGAAAGCGUGGGGAGCAAACAGG
rnacentral:rRNA from 1 species